AAUAAAUUCAAAGAAUAUUCUGUUAAAUUUAACGAUGUUAAUAGGUUUGAUCUCCCGUUAACAAAUAAACCCAAUAAUUAAAACCAAAAAAUUAAACAAUCUUUUUUUAAAUAAAAAAAAAAUCAUCUUAGCCACAUAUCUCUCUAACAAUCCGUAUAUCCCCAAAUUAUCAAAUUCAAGUCUCUCGCUUUGGUUUACGAUCAACCAAACGCAGCUAUGGCUUUGCACUCAGUAAGUCUUUCUUCUUCUUCGUAGUCUUCACAGCUAUUGAUUUUUCCAAUCGCAGGCCAGAGUUUUACAAUAAGUUCGCAUUUUAAUUCUUCUUCUUUCGCUCCUCCCCUUCGGAGAUCCCACACUCAUCUUUGAGAAAGAAUUCUGAACUACGAAUUCAGAGUUAUUGCAAAAUCAUUCAAGCCCUUCCCUACCGUGCGUCCUCAUUCAAGAAGAACAAAAUCAUUGCGAUCCACAUUCAAUUGGCUGUGAGAAACGAUGAAGAGUUGAGCAAGCUUUCGAGAGUGAUGACAAUUACGAACGGAGGUGUUCAAUUUUCUGGGAGGCGAAGACGUUGCUAUGGGAGGAUCGUCUAUUUCAUAAGAACAUGACGGUUCCAAAUGAGGCUAAUAUCGACUUGGCCACUUGAUCUAGAAAUCUGAGAAGGGUCUGCAGCCAAAAGAUUUGAGAUUGCUACCAAGGUUGUGUAAGGAGGCACACCUCUGAAAGUAAUGAAAGCUUGACAUGUUCUGUUUAGACCAUUGCAGAAGUAGCCAAGAGAAGAGUUUGAGUUAUCCUUUUUUUCACAUUCAGUUGUGUCUUCUCUCACAUAUGGCUGUUGAGCAAAAAUUGAAGAGAAGCUACAACUAAUAAUGAUGAUGAUGAUGAAGAAGAAAAUGAGCUUUGGAGAACUCAUUUUGUCUUGGAAAAUCUAAAUAGUUAUUGUUCUAAAUAUGUAUAGAUAUAUUAUUAACAAAGUCAACAAAGAAAGUGAAACUACUUGUGUGAAUGUGAUAAUGGAAGCACUUUAACAUUGUUUUUGGGCAUUAUUUAGUAUACAUCUUUGCAUCGUUCAUUUAAUCU